rnacentral:rRNA from 1 species
CUAGGUCCCAGUUCAGAUUGCAGGCUGCAACCCGCCUGCAUGAAGUCGGAAUUGCUAGUAAUCGCGGAUCAGCAUGCCGCGGUGAAUACGUUCCCGGGCCUUGUACACACCGCCCGUCACACCAUGGGAGCCGGUAAUACCCGAAGUCAGUAGUCCAACCACGUGAGGACGCUGCCGAAGGUAGGAUUGGCGACUGGGGUGAAGUCGUAACAAGGUACC